rnacentral:rRNA from 1 species
CCUACGGGUGGCAGCAGUGGGGAAUAUUGGGCAAUGGGCGCAAGCCUGACCCAGCAACGCAGCGUGAAGGAAGAAGGCUUUCGGGUUGUAAACUUCUUUUCUCAGGGACGAAGCAAGUGACGGUACCUGAGGAAUAAGCCACGGCUAACUACGUGCCAGCAGCCGCGGUAAUACGGAGGUGGCAAGCGUUAUCCGGAUUUACUGGGUGUAAAGGGCGUGUAGGCGGGAAAGCAAGUCAGAUGUGAAAACUAUGGGCUCAACCUGUAGCCUGCAUUUGAAACUGGUUGUCUUGAGUACAGGUGAGGCAGACGGAAUUCCUAGUGUAGCGGUGAAAUGCGUAGAUAUUAGGAGGAACACCAGUUGCGAAGGCGGUUUGCUAGACAGCAACUGACGCUGAGGCGCGAAAGUGUGGGUAUCAAACAGGAUUAGAUACCCUAGUAGUC